GAUGAACGCUGGCGGCGUGCCUAAUACAUGCAAGUCGAGCGAACAGACGAGGAGCUUGCUCCUCUGACGUUAGCGGCGGACGGGUGAGUAACACGUGGAUAACCUACCUAUAAGACUGGGAUAACUUCGGGAAACCGGAGCUAAUACCGGAUAAUAUAUUGAACCGCAUGGUUCAAUAGUGAAAGACGGUUUUGCUGUCACUUAUAGAUGGAUCCGCGCCGCAUUAGCUAGUUGGUAAGGUAACGGCUUACCAAGGCAACGAUGCGUAGCCGACCUGAGAGGGGGACCGGCAACAUGGGAACUGAGCACCGGCCAAGACCCUAACGGAGGCAGCAGUAGGGAAUCUUCCGCAAUGGGCGAAAGCCUGACGGAGCAACGCCGCGUGAGUGAUGAAGGUCUUCGGAUCGUAAAACUCUGUUAUUAGGGAAGAACAAAUGUGUAAGUAACUAUGCACGUCUUGACGGUACCUAAUCAGAAAGCCACGGCUAACUACGUG
rnacentral:rRNA from 1 species